AUUUAUCCGGUAGGAGCAGCGUGUUCUUCAUAGAAGACAUGAGGACAAGGAAAUGGCCUAGCUGGUGACCAUUGGAGAUGUAAAAUAGCCAAAAUUGUUGUUGUCGUUGGACCAAGGAGAAAGAGGAGCAGCGAUGGGGGUUCCAAUGUGCCAUCGCCGCUACGCCCAUUGCCAGCGCCUAGCAAGAUUUUGGCGUUUGGCAUAAGGAGCACGAUCUGCCGCAUUUCCAUGGCAUUGAGACGAGGUGUGUGAGAAUAAUCCAAAGAGGCUGCACUACAUAAUUAAUCUAUGUGAUACUUUAAUCUGCAAGCUCUAGGGGAGGCUACAGGGCUCUGCCUCCUCUAACCCAACCCCUCAUCUGCUCCCACGGUGCUAAAGUAACACAACAAUGCAGAGAUGCACAAAGACGUUGAGCCGACAUGAGCUGUUGUUGAUUCGCUGCAAAAGGUUUGCACCCAUGGGUUCAGUUCUCCUUGCCUUUGAUGAUGUAAGUGUGUUGUUUCUGGGUCCUGGAAGAGAUUUCUAAAUACAGUGGUUUUAUGGUUUGUAACAUUCCCAAGAAGCUAUAACUCAUCUCUCCCGCAUUUAGUUUAUUUAUCAUUGUACAGAUGUAGACCUGCAGUGAUUAUGAUUUAAGAUUUUGGAUCUGUAGUUAAAAAUUUAUUAGUAGUACCUAAUUAUGCUAAAUAUUCAGUAUUUUUAUUUUCUUUGUGCAUCAGUUUAGCAUUAGCAGUGGAAGGUCUUGCCAAAAUCUGGCCCUUCACACUGGUAAAGGUCGGACCUUUCUGGUUUGAACCAUGGAGCUAAUUGGGAUAUGUAUUUUUCUCCAGAUCUGCAUUAGUUUAGCAAAGUCCAUAGAAUAUUCUAUGUGAGUGUUCUUACCCUGUUUAGGAAAGUGCAGGUUGUCAAGGAAGCGAUUGUAAUAACUUGAUAGACACA